GUGCUCACUUCAGCAGCACAUAUACUGAAAUUGGGAUGAUCCAGAGAAGAUUAGCAUGGCCCCUGCACAAGGAUGACAUGCAAAUUCAUGAAGCGUUCCAUAUUUUC
rnacentral:snRNA from 1 species